rnacentral:misc_RNA from 1 species
CUAGAUCUAGCUGCUAUUGAGGCUCCAUCUACAAAUGGAUAAGACUUUAGUCUUAGUCUAGACCUUUUUUUGUAAAUAAAGGAGCAAUAAUCAACUUCUUCUUAUUCUUAUAUUAAGAAGAUUGAUAUUGCUCCUUUAUAUUCAAUAAUAUUAUUUAUUUGAUAUGAGUAUCCUACUUUUGUUAUCUACUAACGUUAUGUACUAAUAUUUUUUUAUAACUAAGUUUUUACCAAUUUUAUUUUUUAUAAAUAAAAUAGUAAUAAAAAAAAAUAGUAGGGGCGGAUGUAGCCAAGUGGAUCAAGGCAGUGGAUUGUGAAUCCACCAUGCGC